rnacentral:rRNA from 1 species
AGUGAACGCUGGCGGUAGGCCUAACACAUGCAAGUCGAACGGCAGCACAGUAAGAGCUUGCUCUUACGGGUGGCGAGUGGCGGACGGGUGAGGAAUACAUCGGAAUCUACUUUUUCGUGGGGGAUAACGUAGGGAAACUUACGCUAAUACCGCAUACGACCUACGGGUGAAAGCAGGGGAUCUUCGGACCUUGCGCGAUUGAAUGAGCCGAUGUCGGAUUAGCUAGUUGGCGGGGUAAAGGCCCACCAAGGCGACGAUCCGUAGCUGGUCUGAGAGGAGGAUCAGCCACACUGGAACUGAGACACGGUCCAGACUCCUACGGGAGGCAGCAGUGGGGAAUAUUGGACAAUGGGCGCAAGCCUGAUCCAGCCAUACCGCGUGGGUGAAGAAGGCCUUCGGGUUGUAAAGCCCUUUUGUUGGGAAAGAAAAGCAGCAGGUUAACACCCCGCUGUUCUGACGGUACCCAAAGAAUAAGCACCGGCUAACUUCGU